rnacentral:rRNA from 1 species
AAAGUAGUAUACUGGCAAAGCUGGUUGCGCGAGCCGCUGAAAAGCUGCUUGCGAGACUGGUACGAACCUUGAAAACGAUACAGAACAAUAACAACGCAAAUUAUCGGUUUGGGGUGGGCUCGCGUCCGAUUAGGUAGUUGGUGAGGUAACGGCCCACCAAGCCGACGAUCGGUAGCCGACCUGAGAGGGUGAUCGGCCACAUUGGGACUGAGACACGGCCCAAACUCCUACGGGAGGCAGCAGUGGGGAAUAUUGGGCAAUGGGGGGAACCCUGACCCAGCAACGCCGCGUGGAGGAAGAAGGUUUUCGGAUCGUAAACUCCUGUCCUUGGAGACGAGUAGAAGACGGUAUCCAAGGAGGAAGCCCCGGCUAACUACGUGCCAGCAGCCGCGGUAAUACGUAGGGGGCAAGCGUUGUCCGGAAUAAUUGGGCGUAAAGGGCGCGUAGGCGGCUCGGUAAGUCUGGAGUGAAAGUCCUGCUUUUAAGGUGGGAAUUGCUUUGGAUACUGUCGGGCUUGAGUGCAGGAGAGGUUAGUGGAAUUCCCAGUGUAGCGGUGAAAUGCGUAGAGAUUGGGAGGAACACCAGUGGCGAAGGCGACUAACUGGACUGUAACUGACGCUGAGGCGCGAAAGUGUGGGGAGCAAACAGGAUUAGAUACCCUGGUAGUCCACACUGUAAACGAUGAAUGCUAGGUGUAGGGGGUAUCGACCCCUUCUGUGCCGCAGUCAACACAAUAAGCAUUCCGCCUGGGGAGUACGGCCGCAAGGUUGAAACUCAAAGGAAUUGACGGGGGCCCGCACAAGCAGCGGAGCAUGUGGUUUAAUU